GAUGAACGCUGACAGAAUGCUUAACACAUGCAAGUCAACUUGAACUUCGGUUUGGGUGGCGGACGGGUGAGUAACGCGUAAAGAACUUGCCUCACAGAUAGGGACAACAUUUGGAAACGAAUGCUAAUACCUGAUAUUAUGAUUUUAGGGCAUCCUAGGAUUAUGAAAGCUAUAUGCGCUGUGAGAGAGCUUUGCGUCCCAUUAGCUAGUUGGAGAGGUAACGGCUCACCAAGGCGAUGAUGGGUAGCCGGCCUGAGAGGGUGAUCGGCCACAAGGGGACUGAGACACGGCCCUUACUCCUACGGGAGGCAGCAGUGGGGAAUAUUGGACAAUGGACCAAGAGUCUGAUCCAGCAAUUCUGUGUGCACGAUGAAGUUUUUCGGAAUGUAAAGUGCUUUCAGUUGGGAAGAAAAAAAUGACGGUACCAACAGAAGGAGUGACGGCUAAAUACGUG
rnacentral:rRNA from 1 species